rnacentral:rRNA from 1 species
UACGAAGGGUGCAAACGUUGCUCGGAAUUAUUGGGCGUAAAGCGCACGUAGGCGGCUCGGCAAGUCGGAUGUGAAAUCCCACGGCUCAACCGUGGAACUGCCUUAGAUACUGACGGCCUCGAGGGAGAUAGGGGCGAGCGGAACUGUGAGUGGAGCGGUGAAAUGCGUUGAUAUUCACAGGAACUCCGGUGGCGAAGGCGGCUCGCUGGAUCUUUUCUGACGCUGAGGCGCGAAAGCUAGGGGAGCAAACGGG